rnacentral:misc_RNA from 1 species
UACCGUGUGCAAUGUUUCAG